AGCUCCAAAAACCCACUGUAAAAAGAUUACUGACAAAAUUAUUCAAGAAAUCAAUGAUUACAUUAAAGAAUCAAUCGACGAAUCCGCAGAGCAACCCCCACAUAACUUCAUCUUGGCCAGGCAGUGUUGAUAAAAUUGACGCAAGUAAUUUCUCUUCCACAGGCUUUUCAGGAGAUGAUUCGACCCCACUGAUAAAGAUUACUGUGAAAAGAUUAGCGACAAAAUUCUUCAAGAAAUCGAUUACUACAUUAAAGAAUCAAUCGACGAAUGAUGUAUGAAUCUGUGAUCAGUAAACAAUCAGGAAAUACGAAGGAUGUGUGAAUCUGUACAGAGGAAUACAAACAGUGAAUAAAAACAGAGACUGUUCGAGAGAAAAGGAAGAGCAAGGUUCGGGCAGAUCUUGUCAAACACUGAGCAAGGCUGCAUGGGAUACCGCUACAGCCAACAGCUAAUGUCACUACUACAACAGAAUACCGCUACAGCCAACAUGGUGCAGUCUAGGGUUUCGACUAAUGCAGACAGGAAGCUUCAUGGCUUCUCUGGGUCUUCAGCCAUGGAAGAAGAUUGGACUGGGUAAGCAAGAGCGGGGACUGUAUAUUUUGCAGCAGAAGAGGGACACCUUUUGUGAGAGACAAUGCACUGUUGCUGCCACUGGAACCGGAGAGAAUGAUCCAAAGACAGAUUUUGAAUUGUGGCAUUAUCGUUUAGGGCAUUCCAUGCUGCCUAAGGCAGGUUCUUUUCUGAAAUUGUCCAAGUGUAAGAAACAUGAAAUAUGUCAUAUAUGUCCCUUAGCUAAAAUGAACAGAUUACCAUUUAGUAUCAGUGAAUAUAAAUCUGAACACCGAUUCGAUCUUAUUCAUUGUGACAUUUGGGGGCCUUGUAAUGAGGUCUCA